rnacentral:snoRNA from 1 species
AAACCAUAAUGAGGACAACACCGAAGUAAUUCUUUGUAUCUUUCCCGAGCCUUGUUCAACGACUCACAAUCUUGCUGCAUAAAUAAUGUGAUAUCAUUCAUCAGUUU